GACGAACGCUGGCGGCGUGCCUAAUACAUGCAAGUCGAGCGCAGGAAACUGACGGAACUCUUCGGAGGGAAGGCAGUGGAAUGAGCGGCGGACGGGUGAGUAACACGUAAGGAACCUGCCUUAAGGAUUGGGAUAACUCCGAGAAAUCGGAGCUAAUACCGGAUAGUUCAACGGACCGCAUGGUCCGCUGAUGAAAGGCGCUCCGGCGUCACCUUGAGAUGGCCUUGCGGUGCAUUAGCUAGUUGGUGGGGUAACGGCCCACCAAGGAGACGAUGCAUAGCCGACCUGAGAGGGUGAUCGGCCACACUGGGACUGAGACACGGCCCAGACUCCUACGGGAGGCAGCAGUAGGGAAUCUUCCACAAUGGACGAAAGUCUGAUGGAGCAACGCCGCGUGAGUGAUGAAGGUUUUCGGAUCGUAAAACUCUGUUGUAAGGGAAGAACACGUACGAGAGGAAAUGCUCGUACCUUGACGGUACCUUACGAGAAAGCCACGGCUAACUACGUGCCAGCAGCCGCCGUAACAC
rnacentral:rRNA from 1 species